rnacentral:lncRNA from 1 species
UAUCUAUUUCUAUAAAAAACAAUGGCAUUUAUCUUCUUUCUAAGAUAUUCAUUAUUUUAUAUGGCUCAACAAAAUCCUAACUCUAAUAGAAUAUUAAUUAAACUCUAAUUAGACCAUAACAAUACUAAGCAGGCUUUAAUCAAAUUCAAAGAAAUUUCAAAGGAGUUACAAAGAAGCAAUAAAUAAUCUUAAAAAAAUAUUAGAAUGAUCACAAAUAUAUCCCAAAUACAUCUCAAUUCAAUCUUAAUUUAAUCCUAGUUAAAAUCCUAUUAGAAUUCAUUCAAACUUUAGACCAAAAACUAACUAAAUCUUAAAUCCUAAAAAAACUCAAAUAAGAUCCUAAAUCCUAAAUCAAACUUUAACCAAAUCCUAAACCAAAUCUUAAACCUUAAACCAAAUUCUAAACCUUAAAUCAAAUCUUAAUCCUAAAUCAAAUCCUUACUAAAUCCUAAGUCCUAAAUCAAAUCCUAACCAAUCAUAAAUCAAAUCCUAACCAAUCUUAAAUCAAAUCCUAACCAAUCUUAAAUCAAAUCCUAACCAAUCCUAAAUCAAAUCCUAACCAAUUUUAAAUCAAAUCUGAACCAAUUAUAAAUCAAACCCUAAAUCCUUAAUCAAAUCUUAAUUAAAUCCUAAUCCUAAAUCAAAUCCUAAUCAAAUCCUAAAUCCUAACCAAAUCCUAACCUUAAAUCAAAUCCUAACCAAAUCAAAAACUCUAAAUCAAAUCCUAAUCCUAAAUCAAAUCUUAACCAAACUCUAAUCCUAAAUUAAAUCCUAACCAAAUUCUAAUCCUAAAUCAAAUCCUAACCAAAUCUUAACCAAAUCCUAAACCAAACCCUAAAUUCUAAAUCAAAUCCUAGUAAUUCCUACAACAUAUUUAUACCUCAAUUACUAAUGAAUGAAUCAUUGAUCUUAACUCAAAAUUUGCAUGGUUUUUAACAAUUAAGUUGACAACAAGCACAAAAAAAUUUGAAAAUGAUCGAAAUAACCAAAUAGACGAUAGCCUCAAAAACAUGCUUGGAUAUUGGCCGGCCUCUUUCUCUGACCUUGAUGCCAAUUUCCAAGAGCCAAUAUCUCUUUUUUUCACCAUUUGAUUGAUCUCAAAAUUCUCAUACACAUAGGAAAAUAAGUCUUAUAUCCUCUUACAUAAAUUUCACUCCAAUCCAAAUAAUAGAUUGCAAGAAAUCUUAAAAAUCCUCACUGGACCUAAAAUUCUACUUUUUGAGAACUUGACCUAUUUAAACCUCAAUAACCCUCAAUUCAACUAUUAGAUUGAACUAAGAUUUACAAUACAUAUUAAGCACAAUUAUGAACAUUAAUCCACAAAAUUUCACUUGUAGAUCUAUUAGAAAACUCUUGAAAUACUUGAAACAUCAAUCUUAUUUUAUUUCACAAAAUCCAAAUCAUCCGAAAACAAUCUUGACUUUGUAAAGCUCUUACAAAGUCUUAACAACUCUAAAUCAUCCAAAACCAAUGCUCAUAGAAAUCCUAUCUAGUUUGCUAUCAAAUCCCACUCUCCGCUUUGCAAAAGAACCCUCGAGUUGCUGUAGGUGCUCAGCUUUGUGCCUGAAGGUCUGAUUUCGACCUAGGUUGAUAACCAGCCCUCCUUGGGUAUCAAUAUCUAGUUUUUUUAUGUAAUUUUUACUAGAAUUUACUCUUAACUUCUUCCUAAAGAUACUUAUAUUAUUUAUUUUUCCAAUCUAUUUUAUUUUGGCUUAUUUAUGGACCUAUAAAAUAAAUAGAAGUCACUUUUGUAAAAAAAUAGUACUACUACUAAAAGUUUUACAACCUUCCUAUCUUUUUAUCCAUAUUUUUUUACUUUAUUUUUUAAUUUGGUUCUUCUAUAAUAAGAUCCAUAUUAUCAUCUUUUACCAUAUAGUUGUAUUACAAUACGACAAUAUUGGUCUUUUGUUGUUCUUAAAUUUUUUUUUUAUUAUGUCUUCAUUAUUGAAUGUAGUUUAGAUAAAUUAUUUUUUAAAUAUUUUAUCACAAGAUUAUCAACUUUUGAGAAGUCAAAAGUAUUAACACAAUUGAACUUGCUUAAAAAAGGUUGAAUUAAUAGUCAAUAUUGAUUUUAUUACUCAAAGAUGAUAAUACUCUAGCUUUAAGAGAAUUAUUUUUUUUCAUCAAAAGCUACAUUUUCUUCAUUUGGUGUAAGUUAUAAAUAUCUAGAAAAGACCUUUAACAAAUCUUAUUAUUUUUUAGAUUGAUAAAUAAUCUUAAAAUCAAAGCUUCAUAAAGAUAUGCUCUAAUAAGCUUAAAAAUAAUUCAAAGUACAUGCUACCAUGAAAUACUUGAGGUUCUUUGAGAUUUGUGUAUACAAUGAUUGGAUUGGAAGUACCUUCUAAAUAAUAAUUUCAUUUUUUGAAAUAAAUAUAUAAUUAUAAAAAGCUCUUUAUUAUAGAUCUUGCAGUUGAUCUCAACUACUAAAAUUUUUAUGGAAUAAAAAGCUAUCAAAAAGAACUUGUCAUUUACUUUUGUUCAUAACACCACUACAUCAAUGAAAAAAUGUGAUGUUUCUAUUUUUAUAAAAGAUGUUUUAAAAAAGUCAUUAGAAUAUAAGAUUGGUGUAAAAAUAAAUAUUAUCUUUAACACUUUAAAAGAUGCUUUAGCUUCUUUACUUCACUUAAGUUUGUCUUUAUAUAUCAAAUAUGUAAGAAGAGUUACAACUUGUAAAUAGUUGUUGAUGAAAUUUCAAUAUUUAUUUAUAAAUUUUAAAAAAUAUUAUACAUUUCUUGUUAUUUUUUAAAUAUUUCAAUCUAUAGUAGUCUAUAUUGAAGAAAAAGAAGUCUAAAGGCUACAAAUACUUAGCAUCAGCAAGGAUUGCACUCUAAGAGAAAGUGUGGAGGAAGAUAAUUCUUACUUCCAACACUCUUUACUUAUAGGUGGUGGUUUGCGCACCAACGAGGCAACUUCCAUCCAUUUGAUAUUACAUCCAUUUCUACCUCAUCUUACUAAAGCCUCGGUACCACCACAAUAACUUACUUUAUCUCUUUGCUACCUUUUUACUAUUAGCAACAUACUAUGCUUAAACUUUAUGUGAUUGUAACUAAGCAAGUACUUGCUGUUCUUCAACACUCCCACUUUGCUAAUAUUCAAAAGGCUUUUAAUCUAAUCUUUAAAUCAAGUCAUGAUAUUUAUCCUUGAUCAAUGCCUUUGUAAGCACAUCAACAAGCAUGUCAUUUGUAGUACAAUACUUCAACCCUAUUAUUUCGUCUUCAAUCUUCUCUCGUAUAAAAUGAUAUUGAACAUCAAUGUACUUGUUCCUUGAAUGGUGUUUUGGAUUCUUGGCAAAUAUAAGACAUCCUUGAUUAUCACACAUAAUGAGAGUUGCUUCUAAUUGCACUUGUCCAAUGUCUUCUAAGAGUUGCCUAAUCAAACAUGCCACCAUUGUACAAUGACUUACUGCCAUGUUCUCUGCCUCCAUCGUUGAUCUUACAAUAGUAGGUUGUCUUUUGUAAUUCCAUGAAAUGGCUCCCACUCCAAUGAAGAACACAUAUCCUUUUAAGUACCUCAAUAUCUUGUUUACCAUUUUUUUUCAAUGGAUUGAUCCACCCUUAGAUAUGGUACCAUGCCCUUGGUAAUUGUUUCAAUCCAUACAAAGAUUUCUUUAAUUUGCAAACAAGAUGUUCUUUGCCUUAUUGUACAAAUCCUUGAGGUUGGUCCAUGUAGAUGUCUUCUUGCAAUUCUCCAUUCAAAAAGGCCGUCUUCACAUCCAUUUGGUGUAUUUCCAAAUCCAUUGCUACCCCAAUUGCUACAAUGGUCCUUAAAGUGGUGAAUUUGGCAACAGGUACAUAAGUCUCAUUGAAAUCAAUUCCAACAACUUGUGAAUAUCCUUUGGCAACUAAUCUUGCCUUGUGCCUCACCACCACACCCAUUGCAUCUCUUUUAGUCCUAAACAUCCAUUUACAACCAACACUAGAUCGGUUUGGUGGAAGAGGUGCCGAUUCCCAUGUACCAUUGUCUAUAAGAAAUUGGUACUCUUCUUCCAUAGCCUUCUCCCACUUGAUUGCAUCUUCACUCUUCAUAACAUCACACAAAGACAAUGGAUCAGCAAGAAGAGUAAUAUUUGCAUUUUCUUUACUUACUUGAUGGAAGAUGUGAUCCUUCCAUCAUUCGCCAUGUUGCCUUCUUUCUCUCAAAGGAAAUAUCCUUUCAUUGAUUGAAGAACAUUCACCUUGUUCUUUUCCAACUCUUAAACCUUAUCAUUUCUCACUCAAUGGUUGGAAGUCUUCAUCAUUAUCAUCAUCCCAAUCUUCAACAUCUUCAUUUUUUUCAUUGCUGGUCCUAUCAAUUAUAGAAGCCUUCAUCUUUUCAACCUUCUUUUGCUUUUCAUCUUCAUCAUCUUCAUUGACUUCAUCUUUUUGUUUCUUUGCUGAAUUCAAAGAUGUGUCCAUAAACACACCAUUACUCCCACUUAGACACAUCUCCAAGUGCUCACAAACACUCUUGUGCUCUAAAAACACAACAUCACGACUUUUGAUGAUCUUCUUGGAUUCCAAGCACAUUAGCAUAUAUGCCUUGGUACCUUCACAAUAACCAAGAAACACACACUUUGUAUCUUUUGCAUCAAGUUUGGACUUCAUACAAUCAGAUAUUUUUGCAUAUACAAUGCAACCAAAGGUCUUCAUAUGGGAAAUGCAAGGUUGUCUACCACUCCAUGCUUCUUGUGGUGUCAUUGAUGCAAGAACACUUGUUAGACAUUUAUUUCUUGUAUAUACUGCAUUCACCAUAGCUUCCGCCCAAAAUUCAUAGCCAAGGUUUUGAGCAUGUAACAUACUCCUUGCUAUCUCUACAAUGGUUUGAUUUGCCCUUUGAGCAACACCAUUUUGUUGUGGAGUGUAUGGAGUUGUGGUUUAUCUAGCAAUUCCUUCAUUCUUCAAAUAAAUAUCAAAUUGCUUAGACAUGUACUCACCUCCAUUGUCCGUACGUAGCACCUUGAUCUUGCAUUCACUUUGUUUUUCAACAAGUGCUUUAAACUCCUUAAACCUCCAAAAGCAUUCAUUCUUGGCUUUAAGAAUAUAGAUCCAAAUCUUUCUUGAAUAAUCAUCAAUGAAAGUGAGAAAAAACCUUGAUCCUCCAAUACUUAUAUUUUUCAUAGAUCCACAUACAUCUGAAUGGACAAUCUCCAGCAACUUGGUAGCAUGUGUUGCUACACUCCUUGGAAAUGAGGCCCUUUGUUGUUUGCCUUGUAUGCAUCCUUCACAUGUAAUUUUUUUUGCAUUUUGGCUUGUAUUUCCAAGAUCUAAGCCACUUACCAUGGUCUUGAGCUCUUUCAUGCUCUUCACAUUCAAAUGGCCAAGGCGACGAUGCGUUAUAUUCAACUUGUCUUCGUUUGAUAUAAACUCAACAAAUACAGCUACCUCUACUCCAUUCACCUUCUUACAAAUGAGGUAGUACAAAUUUCCGUCUUUCAAGCCUUUGAAAACCUUGUCUCCACUCAAUGAUCUUACAAAACAUCCAUUCAUAUCAAAUUGAACUUUAAAACCUUCCAUUACAAGUUUACUCACCGAAAGAAGGUUUUGCUUCAUCUUAGGCACAUGAAGGACAUUUUUGAGUCUCAUCCGAUUGGUUUGUCCAUUCACAACCACCUCCACCAUAAUAGAGCCAAUUCCAAUGGCUUCACAUGUACCACUAUCUGCCAACACCACGUUUGAUGCUCGAAUAGCUUCAUAAGUAUCAAAUGAACACUUAUAAGGUGUCAUAUGCUUGGAACAACCUAAAUCCACAAUCCAUCUUAACAUGGCAGCCAUAGAGGUCCCAUUUGUUGCCAUGAAUGCAUAAUCUUAUCUUCCAAACUCGUCUUGCAUACUAUUUGCAUUCUCCUUCUUCAUCUUUUUUCCUUUGUAGUAAUUUCGAGCAAAAUGGCCUAUUUUGCCACAAAUGAAGCAAGAUUUGACAUUACUUCGUUGAUUUGGAUAGUUGCCCUUGCCUUGACAUGAAUACAAUGCUGAAACUUCACUUUGGGGCUCCUUUUCUUUCUUCUUGGUUACUUCAUGGGCAAGUCUUGCCAUCACAUAGUCCAUUGUAAGUUCUUUUACCUUGAUGGAAUCCAAUGCCACAAUAAGGUAGUUGUAGGAUUCAGGAAGGCUCAUUUGCAAAGUCAUGACAAUAUCACUUUCUUCUACAGGCUUGUCAACAGUUGUUAGUUGGUUUGUAAGAUCCUUUACCUUAUUGACAUGAGCCAUGAGGUCUUCACCUUCUCCCAUCUUGCAAGUGAAGAACUUUCUCCUUGUAUAAAUGAUGUUGGAUAAGUUCUUACUCUCAUAGAUGUUGCAAAGAGUCUUCCAUGCUUUCGUUGGUCCUUUGCAAGAGAUAAUGUGAGAGAAGUUGGCUUCAUCCACAUUUGUUGCAAUCAACCCAAAAGCCUUCUUUUUACGAUGUUUGAACUCCUUCUUCUCCUUCAUAUCAGCAUCUUUGCUUGGAGCCUCUUCACUUUCAUCUAUAAUAUCCCAAAGAUCCAAAGAUGCCAAUAAAAGCUCCAUUUUGAUCUUCCAAUGGUAGAAAUUUUUACCUCUAAACUUCUCAAUAACUCUCAAUCCUUCACCCUCACUUGUUGCCAUGUCUAAAGAAGAGUUGUAUCAAAAAAGAUUGUAAGGAGAAGUCCUAAUGCUCUCAAAAUCAGCAAAAAAGUUUUGCUACCUUAGAAUCCCAGAAUCCUUCUUUGUGAACAAAUUAGUAUUUUAACUCUCAUAAACACUCUCAAAUUCACUUCUAAGACUUCUCACAAGUCUGGUGACCUUUCCAAAUCUAAAUUGUUACUCAAAUAUCUCUCUUAUAUUCAUAAAUCACCUCUCUACACCGAAAGAGGCCUUUUAAAGACAAUCAGUAAUUUUAGGACAUGAAAUUAUAAAGUAAGGUCACCAAAGAUCUAUCUCAGCAAUAGCACAAUGCAAAGUUUGCUUUUAGGUGAUAAACCAACCAACAACACCAAAAUGCUCUUAACAACAAAUAAGAGCAAACCAAGAUCUAGAUCUAGAUCUGAAUCUGAAAGUUAGGUACUUUUAAUGCCUAACAUCAACAAUAACAACUUGAUCUACUCUACACUUACAAAAUACUUCAAAGACUUCAAAAGACACUCAAGCAAAUGUAAGUGGGCCCAUAACCUAUUGAAGAAAAAGAAUUCUAAAGGCUACAAACACUUAGCAUCAGUAAGGAUUGUACUCUAAGAGAAAGUGUGGAGGAAGAUAAUUCUUACUUCCAACACUCUUUACCUAUAGGUGGUGGUUUGUACACCAACGAGGCAACUUCCAUCCAUUUGAUAUUACAUCCAUUCCUACCUCAUCUUAUUAAAGCUUUGGUAUCACCACAAUAACUUACUUUACCUCUUUGCUGCCUUUUUACUAUUAGCAACAUACUAUGCUUAAACUUUAUGUGAUUGUAACUAAGCAAGUACUUGCUAUUCUUCAACAGUCUAGACUUUCACAGAUUCCAUCAUGAAGCCAUCAUUAAAAAUGGUAUAUCUUGAGAAGUCACCUUAUUUAUUAUAAAAUAUACACAUUUCUAUCUUGGCAUAUAAUUAUGCAUUUCUAAGUUUUUGUAAUACAUGACAAAAAUGAAGUUCAUACUCUUCUAUAUUCUUAGAGUACAUUAAUAUAUUUUUUAGAUAAGAGAUAGUAGAUAGUAGCAAAAUCAUCAAGAAACUCUUAUAAAAUCAUUAUUCUUUAGAUAUUAAAAAACAACUGAUAUAUUUUUGAGUCUAAAAGGUAUGACAUUAUAUUUAAAAUAUACAUACCUAAUUCAAAUCAUACUCUUUCAUUCAUCUCUUCUUUUGAUGUUUAUCAAGUUGUAUGUUUUUCAUAGAUCUAUUUUUGUAAAGAUCUUUAUUUGAUUAAAUUAAUUAAAAAGUCAUAAAAUUAAAAAUAAAGGAUAUCUAUAGCUGAUAGUGAUCUUAUUGAGUCCUUAAUAUUUGCAAAGAUCCAUCUUUUUUCUUCAUAAAUAAGAUAGGAGUACUUAUUGGAGAUUUUGAAUGGUGUAUGAAAUUCUUAGCUAAGUUUUUAUCAAUGUAUUCCUUAACUAUAAUCAAUUUGUUUUACAAUAAGAUAAUGAUUGGUUCAAAUGGUACUUGAGGUCCUUCUUGAAGAUCAAUUGAAUAAUCAUUUAGAUGAUUUUUUGGAAAAAUAUUUUUAUUUUUUUUCUUAAAAAUAUCUUAAUAAUCUUAAUAUUGAUUUGAAAUGCCACUUAUAGUCUUUUCACCAUGAAAAAUAGAUGUGGCAUAUAUGGCAAAAAGUGACCAUUUUUUUGUAACAUGCAUGAAAGCUCUUGUAACUAUCAAUAUAUAUUUGAUUAUAUUAGACUUAUAAAUUUUUACUUGAUUGACAAAAUCUUGGCUUCAAUAAUAGCAAAAAUCAUGAUUAUAAGAAGUACAGUCUAUUUGAGGUUAUAAUUUUUUAGCUAUUACUCUCUUAAAAUAAUUGAUUAGAAAGAGAUUUAAUCAUAUUAAAUAUUACUAAGCUAUUAUGACCAUUAGUUUUUACAUAUAAAAGAAUAUUUUUAUAGGCAAAAUCUUUAAAAGACAACAAACGACCAUCUAUUAUUCUUACAUGAAAAAUUUUAAUUUUCUUGACUAAAGAUAUAAUUUGUAUCUAUAAAACAAAAUUUUUUUGACAAAAUUUGUAUCUAUAAAACAAAUUAAGGCUUUUGAAUCUAAUAAGACAAAGACUUUUUGAUUUUUUAGUCCUUAACAAACUUCUAUUAUGAAACAAAGUAAAGGAUCUUAAAAUAGAAUAAAAUCUUUAUUAUAUAUUAUAGAAGAUUUUAGAUAUAAGGUCUCUAUUGUAGUUAAAAAAAAUUGUUUAUGAUACAUUAUUAUCUUAUAUAACCAUGCUACUCAUUUUCUAAUUAUGUUGCUUCUUUGGAUAAUAUUAAAAAGUAUGUUUAAAUUAUCUAAUAUAUAGGCACAAACCUUCUUGAUGAUGUCAAGUCUAUUUUUGCUCAGUAAGGAAUUUCAAACUUAUCAUAUUAAUUUGUAUAGGCUUUGAAUUUCAUCUAUAAGCUUCCAAAAAUUUAAAAGAUAUUGCUAUGACUUGACUUAUAUCUCUUUCAAAGUGUCAAUUAUUGCAUGCAAUGGUUUAAGCAAUAAAUUACUUCAAUGUGUCUGCUUUUGGUAUUGUCAAUAAUAAAUCCUUGAUAUUAUCUUUUAAUCUAUACUAAAAUUAAUUGAUAAGGAAUUUUUUAUUUUAAUCUAUGUUGUAGGUAAGGUUUUCAAAUUUAGUAAUAUAUAUGGUGGCUAAAUGUAAUCUUAGUUAUAAAGAUAUAAAUUUAGUCUCUAUUAUGUUUUUAAUUACUUCUUCAAAUAUGGCCAUAAAAACUUUUACGAGUGAAUUCAAAUAAUAAAGUAAUUGUGAAUUAUUUUCUAUUAAAGGUGCAAAUGAAGAAAAAAUACUUUAAGUUAGAAGUGCACCUAUGGAUCCAACUUAAAUAAAUCCAUCAAAGUAUUGAAAAGGAUACAAUCUUAAAUAUAGGUUCACUAGUUAUAUAAAUCUUCAAAACUUUGAUCUUAUUUCAUAAAAAUUCUUUGGCAUAUUUAUCCUUGCUUCUUUUAUAUUUAUAGUAGUAGAACUUUUUGAAUUUAGUUAAGAAUUUGAUCAGCUUGCUUCUUAUAACUACACAACUUUUUGGCAUGGAUUUUGAAUGUUAUUAUUGAUUUUUUCUAUGGAUAUAAGAAUAAUACCUUCAUGAUUCAUGUUGAAAAUACAUAAAAUUUCUAUCUUUAGAGUAUCGACAAGCUUGUGAAGAUUUAUAAUAAUUAUAAAUUUAUUCUUAUUUUUGUUGAGAAUAAUAUCCAUAAAUUUUUUUUCUAAAGACAACUCAAACAAAUUCAAAAGUCAAAUUAGAGGACAAUAAUUUGCAACCUUUAAUAUCAAAAGAAUAUUUUUACAAAGAGAGGUAAUUUUUUUUAAAGAAAAAAUCAAUGUUAAAGAACUAAAAGUUAAUUUAAAGGUAGAUAGUCCAUAAUAUAAUAAUAGAAGUAGAAUAAUCCUGUAAUAAGGUAUAGAUAAGAUAUUUGUAUAGAGAUAGAUAGUUAGAACCAUGGAAAUUUUUAGAAUUGGGAUUAGGUUAGUGGACCAGGUAGGAUCCACCAUAAGACAUUCUAGAAAGAAUUUAGGGUAUUAAUUUAGGUAGGAUCUACCAUAAAACCUUGUAGAAAAGGCAUGGGUGGUUAUUUAGGUGGAUCCACCAUAGAACCUUCUAGAAGGAAUGUGAGGCAAUUAUCUAAGUGGAGUCUAUUACUUAGAUACAUUUUAGAAAGUCUAGGGUGUUAGAAUAAAGUAUAAAUAGAACUGGCCAAGUCCUUUUGGGGCAUCUGGUCAAGUAUGGCUUUGGACUCUUUUUCUAAAUACAAUUGGAUUUUUUAUCUUCUUAUUUUGUUCUAUUCUGUCUUAAUUUUGGUUGCUUAGUUUUGUCUUCUAUGGCCCAUUCUGUUUAAUUUUGUUCAAUUUUGUUCUGGUCCACUUUGUCCUACCUUGUGAUGAGGUUUUAUAUUACUGUAGAUUAGAAGGAUCUUAGAUAAUUGAGAUAGAUUAAUCUUGUUUCAAAUCCACUCUCUUCUAAAAGAAUAAAAAAAAGAAAAGAAAAGAAAAAGAGUUAGUUUUUUUCUCAAAAUUGUUAUGAGUCAUCAAAUUGACUCAUUUGUUGUUUUAGAACAAAAGAAUGCAUUGAGAGUACCAAUAUUGAAAUUGCAGUUGAAGAUUAGUCUAAAAUAGUUAAAUAAAAAAAUAGUAUUAAUAGAAAAAAUAUAGUUAGUAUAGAAAAUCUAAUAGAAAUUCUCAUAUAAAAGGUAUUUUAGAGAUAUCAAAUUGAUAUCUUUUUAUUAUCUUAAGAACAUCUAGAAAGAAUCUAAAAUAUUUGAGAUUCUAAUAUUAUAUAGUUUGUAUAUAAUAUAAAUAUAAUUUGAAUAUAUAAAAAAUAUAAUAUUGAUAUUAUAUUUAUAUAGUAUUGAUUCAAUAUACAUAAUAUAAUAUAAUAUAUGGAGUACAAGUAUAUAUAGUCGACUUUAUAUACAAAUUUUAAAUAAGCAAUAAUGGCAAGUUGAAUUUUAUUAUCUGAUUAUUAGGUGGUGGUUCUUAAGCAAUUUUUUUUUUCAUAUCAGGACUACAAGAAUCUCUACCAUCAUCACAGGUACUAUUGCAAUAGAGAUUUGGCUUAGACUUUAAUCUUCAUUUUGUUUUUUUCCUAUUUUAUAUUUUAUAUUUGAAGAAACUCCAAAUCUUAUUGAUAAUGCAGCCGAUCCUCCAUUAUUAUUUAAAUAUAGAUUUUUGGAAGGUUAAGUAGAAAGUCUUUGCUGUUAUUGUGCUAGAAAGUUGUUGGCAUAUUUCAAAGUAGUAUUGGCAAUAAGAAGUGGUAGUGUGGCUUUCCAUUGUUUACAUUGAAUCAUUGCCUUAAAUAAAUUAUGCAAUUGGUUGCAAAUCCUCAAAAAAAAAAUUGAAGCAAUUUUAUUACAUUGCCGUUUUUCCAUCCUAGAUAAUGUAAUUAAAGUUCUUUUUCAUUAUUCUCUUGUUAUUUCUUCUUUUAAAUUGGCUACAAUCGUCAAUGGCUAUAUUUGAUUUAUAUUGUACUUAUGUUUUAUAAAUAGUGAUGUUAUUUCUUGGAAUUGGAUUUGAUCAAUGUAUUUCUAGAAAAUAAUAUGUAAUUAAUUGUACUCAGAAAAGUCAAAAUUUUGGAGUAAGAAUCAUAGUGUAGGUGAAAGAAUAGAAGAUGCUGGAUUGUUGCAAUAUUGUGUAGAGUUCUUAUGGUAUUGCUUACUUUCAAGAUUGGAUUAUAUAUUCUUUUAAUCAAUAGUAUGACUAAUAAAUUUGUGUGGUAACAACAUAGGAGAAAAUUUGUUCUUUGUGGUGGCUCUACAAGUAAGCUAAAUGAGUUAAUGAGUUUCUUUGUUGCUAGCUACUCUUGCUUGGUUAGCAUUGUGAGAUUGAAGGAUCCAAUGUUAUGUGAUAACACAACUAUAUGGUAAUAAAUAAAAAUAUGAAUUUUAUCAUAGAAGAAUUUAGUAGAAAGAUGUAAUAAAAAAACAAAGAUAAAUCAUGAGAAGGUAGUAAAAUUUUUAGUUUUAGUAUUGCUUUUUAUAAAAGAAACUUUUAUUUAUUUUGUAUAGACAUAAAUACCUCAAAUCAAAGUAAAUAAAAAUAAAAAAAUAAUAAAAAAAUCUUUAAAAGAAAAUUAAAAAUUAGUUUAAAUAAAAUUAUUAUAAAUUAUCAAAAUAAUUUAUAUAGAGAAGACUGGUUGUGAACUUGGAUUGAAAUUAAAUUCGAAUGUACAAAACCAUGCACAUAUCGCAAUUUCAGGACUCUUUUGCAAAUUGGAGAGUAAGUUCUAAGAGUAGGCUUGAGAAGAAAUUUUAGAAAGUUUUUUUGAUAUCAUUUGGAUUAAUAUUGAGAUUUUGAGGAAUUUUUAAACUUAAGUAAAGUACUCAAAGGAUUCAGAUUUUGAAAAGUAUAAUAAGUUUCUAAGGUUGAAAAUUUUGUGAGUUUUGUAGCAUAUUUAUAAGUAAAAAUUUGGAAAUUUGUCAAUAUGCUUGUUGUAAAUGUGUGUAAUAAUUUGAAGUCAAUUAAGUGAUUAAAUUAAAGAAUAUGAGAGUUACUAUAGAUAAUGGCUUCAAAUUGAGAUUUAGAGGGCCAAUGAGUGUUUUUAAGAUAUCUGUCAAUUUAUUAGUUGAAUUAUUAUUAUAUAUAUAUAUAUAUAUAUAUAUAAUUUUAAUAGUAGCUAGACUUCUAAUAACUUUACAAAAUUUGGAAUAAGUUUAAUGGUAAAAUUAAGAGAUUUUGAUUCUAGAAUAUCAACAUCAAGGUUGAAAAAAGAAGCUGGCCAAGACUUGAGCAAAAUUUAGGAAUUAUUAUCUAUUUGAUAUGCACAAUCUUCUUCAAAUAUAUAUUUUUCUAAUUUUUAAUUUAGUUUUUAUAAAAUAUAUAGAUUUUGAAUCAAAAUAAAAAAUUUAAUUGUUACUUAUUGAAUUUUUAAUUUGCUAUAGAAUUUAUCCAAUAUUUAAGAUUCAAUUAGAUUUUAUUUAGAAUUGAAUUAGAAUUGAAUUAGGAUUUAGGAUUUUAUUAGGAUUUUAUUAGGAUUUUAUUAUAAUUUUACUUAGGAUUUGAUUAAGAUUUAUUAGGAUUUUAUUUAGAAUUAUGAUAAGAAUUUAAGUAAAAUUUAAUUUAAGAUUUAGUUAAGAUUGAUUAGGAUUUUAAUUGGGAUUAAAUUAGGACUGAAUUAGGAUUUAAUUAUAAUUUAUAUUUUUAUUAUUUUUUAAAUAUUAUUUAUUAUUUCUUUUAAAUUUUCUAUUUAUAGUAUUUUUUAAAGAUUAUUUUUAUUUUUUAAAGAUUUUAUCUCUAUAUUUUUUUUGGAUUUUUUUUAUUAUUUUUCUCUGAGAUUAAUUUAUGACUUCUUUGUGUUUCUUUUGUUACUUCUUUUAAAUUUAUUUUGGGUUGAUCAAAUUUUGAUUAAGAUUAUUAAAGUUUAUUUAAAGUUUAUUUGAUAUUCUAUUAGACUUGAAAGAAUUGUUGUUGCAUUUCUAUUUAUCUUCCAUAGUUAGAUGCCUAGUGCAUUUUAAAGUAAGAUUAUACGUAAUACAAUACUACUACAAGGUAUCUAUGUGUACAAAGAAGUAUUUCUUUAUUGUUGAUUAGCUAAUUCUUCUUUAGUUUAGAGUUCAAUAGAUCUGUGGCCAUAGCAUGGAAUUUAUCUAAUUUAAGGAGUUGCUUCAUUUUUAUUCUUCUUCUGGUUAUUACUACAAUAUAAAUUUUUCUUCUUUUGUUUAAGUGUUAUUAUAUAUCAAAGGUAUGCAAGGACGUUUUCACCAUGUAGGCCAAAUUACUUAAUAAUUCAUAUCUAGUCCAAAUUACUUAAUAAUUCAUAUCUAGUCCAAAUUACUUAAUAAUUCAUAUCUAGUCCAAAUUACUUAAUAAUUCAUAUUUAGUCCAAAUUCUUAUCAUACUUUACAAAGUCCAAAGAAUUUGCAACUCUUGUUAUUAUUGCAUUAGUUCAAAGGCCAACCACUAGUAUAAUUUUGACGUUGAAAUAGAAAUACAAUGUGCUUAGCAAAUUUUGAUUCUUUUCAAUAAAACUUAUUAUACAAAUAAAUGUUUAUACUUCAAGUACUAUCUAGCACAAGUGAAAGUUAUUGCUUUACAAAAAGUCAAUGUAGAUUAGGAUACAAAUUUUUCUUACUAUUUGGUAAUUGAAGUAAGUAUCUACAUUUACGUCAGUGGUUGUUGUAUGGAUUCUUAGCUUUGUUUGUGCUUUCAUAGAUUAAAGUUGGAGUCAUGCUGAAAAAUAGAAUAAUAUGUAAAAAUAAGGUGAAAUUUUAUGAAAGUUUGGACUAUUAUUAAAAAAAUAAAAAAAUAAAAAAAAUAAAAAAAUAAAAAAUACUUAUGUAAUUUAUUUAAAUUUGUAGUUUAAAUUUAGUAAUUAAAGAUAGAAGUUGUAGGAUUUAUUAGUAAGAAGUUUAAAAGGCUUUUGAAGUGAAAGGUAUAGUAUUUUGACUCCUAGAACAUACCAUAUGGGUGGAUAGGAUAAGUGAUAAAGGACUUCAUUUCUAUUAAUUGGAAGAUAUACUCAAUGGACUUUGAGAUGUUAACUGGGACCAUAUUGGAGUUUGGGACGACUUUAGGGUGACCUAUUUGAGACAAGGCAGACCAUUUGAGGGAAGGCAACCCAUUUAAAGUAUAGAGGCUGGAUUCAAAAAGCUGGUAUUUUGGGCUAGAAUUUGGGUAAAAAAAAAUGUGUAAUUUGCAGUAGUAAUGAGAGAGUUAUGGUUGUUUGAAGUUAGGAUGUGUUUUUGGUAUCUACUAUUACUCUUUUAAGCAUAUAGAGAGUUAUAGAAAAGCUUUGAAGAAUUGAAAAGUGAUAUUUAAAAUUUGACUUAAAAAAUUACAUUUUAUGUCAAAAUAUUGAUACAUUAUAAUCUAGAACAAAGGAGAAAGAGUUGUUGAAAGUUAGUAUUUAAAACUAGGAUUUGUAAGUGAGUUGUUUUAAUAGAGAUUUUGAUUUUUGCCAUAUCUUGAGUUUUUAGAUGAAUUUUUGGCUAAAUAUUUCCACAAAUGUAGAUAACUAUGUUGAAAAGUUGCAUAUGAAAAAUUUAUAGUAUUUGACCUUUGAAUUUUUGAAAUAUAAAAGAAUUAGUGCAUAGGUGCCUAGAAAUUGACAUGUUUAGCAUCUACUAGAGAUUAGGCAAUAUCUAAAGACUUGCAAUGAAUUUAUGGUUGAUUUUUUGUAUGGAAGUAAUUACAGAUAUAAGUUAACUUUUAGAGAAUUUUAAACCCACUUGGAUAAUUAGAUUAGAAGUUGUUGAGUGAUACAUAUACAAAAAGGAUCUCCAUAGGAAUAGAAGUGAUUUUAGGAUAUCUAGUUGCAUCUUGGGUAUUCUUGUACAUUCUAGACUUGUCUAUUUGAUGUAAUUGUCUUCUUGAAGAUAAGUUAUAAAUCAUAUUUGUGUUUUAUAAUCUUGCAUCUUUUUUGAGCAUUUAAUAGCAGUCAGAGGCCUAGCACUUUUUUGAUGCAACUAUCUCUACUACAAUAUUAGGCUAUAAGAAUGUUUAAGUCUUUGAUGUAGGAUAGCUUAAAUAUAAACAAAGAAGCGGUCAAGCCAAAGUGAGCAUUAGAAAGCAAGAAUAGAGGUAUUCAAUGAUUGAAUCAACUAACAAAGGAUUGUUAUUGGUAUUUUCUUAUAGUAAGAAUCUUAAUGAAAUUAUUAAAGAUUAGAGACUUUGAAACAGAUUGACUUGGAGUUAAAGUGGAAUCAUCAUUAAAAGGGUAUUUAUCAACGUUCUAAAGCAAUAAAGUAAAAAAGUGAAGCUUUAAGGUGUCCAAGCUAGAAGUACUUUUCAAUUUUGUCCAAAUUCAUUAUUAGUCUUUGUUAUUUGUAAAAAAAUCCAAUAAAUAUUGUAAAAUGAUAAUCUAUUAAUUAAAUAUCAUAAUUGAAUAUAAUUGAAUCACAAAUAAAUUUAAGAUUUAAGGAAAUAAUAAAUUAUGAAUGAAUUUUGAUUAAAAAUAGAUAAAUUUUUAUUUAUAAAUAAAAAUUUAUUUAUAGAUAAAAAAAUUUAUCUUAAAUAAUAUAAAAUAAAAUAUAUUUUAAAAAAUAAAAUAAAAUAAAAUAAUAUAAUAUAAUAUAAUAUGUAUUUUUUUAAAUAUAUAGAAUUUAAAGUAUUUUAUAUUAUUUAUUAGAUAUGAACUUAUUUUAGCUCAUAAUUAGAGAAUUUUAAAUUUUUUUGGAUAUAAAUUAAAUAAUAAUUAUAAAAUAAUAGAAUUAAUAGAUAAUUAAAAUUGUUACAAAGUAUGAUAGACUUCUAACUAGUAGAAAUUUAUUUUAGCUUAUAAUUAUUAAAGAUAUGAAUUUUGAACAAAUAAUUACUUAAUACAUUCUUCUAAGAUUAAAAAAAAUAGAUAUUCAUUCAAAAUCAAUAUAGUAUUGAAACUAGAAUGAUUAUUCUUAAAGAAAAAAAUACUAGAAAAUAUCAAAACAAGACUAAAGACUUGAAAGGUAUUGAUAAGAGUGAAGAAGGCUUCACUCUUACUUCUAUAUAUACUAUCUAACUAAGAGGUAUGUGGUGACAUUCUAUAGGAUCUCUAACAUGUAUUCAAUUUACAAAAUAAAUAUCAUAACUUGCAACAAAAGUUUUUUAUAUGUGCGCCAUAUGAUUAACUUGUAAUAUAAGUUAUCAAUAUGUGCAAUAUGUGGCUAAAUUAUUAGUGAAGUGUUCAAUCUAUGAAUCACCUAUAAACAUAUAUAAAGGUGAAACCAUGUCUAUGAAGCUUUUAAAAAGCUAUUUUGUAAGAUAUUAUCAAAUUAAUCUAUUUAAACUUAUUUUUUAUUUAAUUAUAUUAUCUAUGUAACUAUUGGAAUAGAUAUGUAUAUCUAUAAUAGAAAAAUUUGUGAUUCAAUUGAUUAUACCUUGCAAGCAUUGUUCUAAGACUUUAUUUGACAUACACAAUUUUGUUAUGUAUUUUUUAGUUAAAUUAAGGAAUAACCAUAAGAUUAUAUGUUGUGUCAAUAAGCACAACUAUAUUGAUACAAAUUGAGUGGAAAGUGGUUUAAGAAGCAAGUGGUUUCUAUACCAUCUAUAUAUGUUGAAAAUCAAUUAUUUUUUUGGUUUGAAAAUAAAACUCUUAUACAUUUGGCCUUUGUAGAUUAUUCAUAAUUUCAAAUAUUUCUUGUAAUGGCAUUGGUAUAGAAAUAGUAUUUAAAUCUCUUAUAUAGAAGUAUUUUGAUUUAGCUACAUAAACAAUAGUGGUGUAUGGAUCAUAAUACUCUUGGUUGCUGAAGAAUAUUGUGUUAUUAGGAAGCAUUAAUUAGUUACAAUAGAAACUAUACCACAUUGAGUUAAAUUUUCUUAUAGUAAUUUUAGGGUUCUAAAAGCACCAAAAAAUUAAGAAACGUUUAACAAAAAUGUGUCAAGGUUUGUUGGACUAAUAGUACUUAGCCAUCAUCCUUUGGCUAUUUAUAAUAUUUUGUUAUGCCAUAUUACAUAAUUCAUUGAUAUAAUAUAUAUCAACCAAUCUAGUGGCAAAUAUUUUGUAUAGAGUAUAAUCUUGAGGAUUGAAUAACUAAAAUAUUAGAAUAAUAUACUUAGUAGGAAGUAGUGGUUGAGUAUUAUAAACUAACUUAAAGGAAAUAGUCUCUAUUGCAUCUUUAUGUGCAAGUCUAUAAACUUGUUAUCAACUAAGUAAUUAAAAAUUAUACAAAUUUUAAGUCAAGGUGUACAAUUAAAUUAAUAUUUAUUAAAUUUUAAAAAUUACCAUAAUAUUUUUUUUAGAAUUUACUUAGAAUUUUUUUAAUAUUUAUUAAGGAUUUUAUUAUAAAUUUAUUAGAAUUUAGUUAAGAUUUUAUUUAAGCUUUUUUUUUUAGGAUUUAUUAAGACUUAUUUAGGAUUUUUUAUUAUUUUUUUAGGAUUUAUUAGAAUUUGAUUGGGAUUUACUAAGAAUUUUUAUUUUUAAUAUUUCUAAAAAAAUAUUUUUUAUUUCUUUAUUAUAUUUUUAUUUAUUUUGUAGGAUUUUUAUUUUUAAUAUUUUAUAAAUUCUUUUAUAAUUUCUUUAGAAAUUCUUUAAAAUUAUUAUUUUUUUUUUUAUAAUUUUUAUAUGAAUUCUAUUGAAUUUUAUUAAAAUUUGAUUAUAAUUAUUAAGUUUUAAUUAGAAUUUAUUUAAGAUUCUAUUAGAGUUUUAAAAAUUUUAUUAUUGCAAUUCCUAGUUUAUCUUCUAUAUCUAAGAGGUUGGUGCAUUCUCAAGCAAGACUUCACGUAAUUCGACAAUAUCCAUUACAAGGUAAAAAAAAAAAGGGUCUUUAAAAAGAUCUUGUUGCUCAUUUGACUUGAGAACAAUUUCAACUUACUUUGCAAUUGUCUUGGCAUGUGCAAAAUAGUCCAAAAAAAAAGUCCUUUUAGAUAAUCUAUAAGAAUAGAUAUAAGCCUACAAAUAUUUGAAGAAAGAAGUAAAGAGUCUAUUAUUUAAAAAAUAUUAUUCAUUCCAAAAAUAGAUAUAUAUAUAAAUUAUAGAAUUAUUGGCUAAUUUUUAGACUUUCUAUUUUAGUAUCGAAUAGUUUAUACUUUAUAUUUCAAAAAAUAUUAAUCUAAUCUACAUAUAUAAGUUUAUAUAAUUUAUUCAAAAAGAGGUUUUUAUUGAGUAUUAAUAUCUUAUAUUUGAAAAAACUAGCUUUGAUAAUAUGGUCUUUAAGGUAUAUUAUAUCUUGGAUUAUCUAUUUUGUAUCUAAAUCAUUUUUUGUAAUAAUAGGAUUAUUUCUAAAAUAUUAUCCAUUAAAAUUCUUUUUAAAUCUAAAAGAUAAAACUUCACCUUGAAUAGCUUCAUAUAGAUUUAGUUAUAUACCUAUCAGAAGGGUUGCUUGAAGUAGUAUAGAGAAUAUUAGUGGCUUUGGUAGUUGGCUUUAUAGUCAAGGCAUUAUAAUGCUUGGGAGAAAAAAUUAUUGAAGUACAAUAUUUAAAUAUCCCUAUGUUGAAUUUUUUAUGGUUAUUUACUUAAGAAAAAUUAGAUUAGAAUUAAAAUCCAAAUUAUACUAAAUUUCAAAUAUGAUCCAAAUAUAUUGCAAAAACCAUUAAUUAUACAAUCAAAGUGAAUGCUUUUAAAUAGUGCUAUGGUUGCUUAUUUUUCUAAUAAAAUUGACACUAAUUUAUAUGUGAAUAAGUUUAAUGGUGUGCUUGAUUCAUUCCCAUGAAGCUUCUUUACUUAUUUUUGUAAAGCAUCUUGACUCCAUGAAAAAUCUACAUAAUUGGUCUUUUAAUCUUAAAAGAAUUGAUUUAGAAAGUUAUAACUUUCUAUUUGAAUGGUAUUAAUAUAAACAAGAUGUAGAUUAUUAUAAUAUUAUGACUUACCAAAUUUGUAGGAAGAAAUUGAAUCCACUUUUAAAUUAAUUCUAUUUUACAACUUUCAUUUAUAUUGAUCUAAGUGUGCAUUCUAAGGUCAAUUAGUUCCUAUCAUAUAUGGUAUUUUUGAACCUCAGCUUUGUUGUAUAAUAAAAGUUCUUUUGGAUUUGUAAUACUAUCCAUAGAUUCAUUCCAAACUUAGUGAUGAGGGCUAGCUUGGAUAAGUUACAAACAACUUGGUGACUAUGGCAUUACCGAAUCUUAAAAACAAUGGAUAUUUAAAAUCCAUCCUUAUUAUAGGUACAGUGCAUUGUAACUUAAUCUUGCCUCAAUAUACUAUUUUAGCUAUGGUGAGGCUUUACAAAUGAUACUUUUGAAUCAUUCUUUUACUUCUUAUUGAGAUAUAGUACCAAAUAUCAUCCUUACAACACAAACUUCAUAAAAUCUUUAAUUUUACUAAUUUGAGCUAAAGAUAUUAUAAUAUUAUAUUGUGGCUUUGUUUUAAAUGAUUGCAAAAACUUAUGGCUAAUAGUAGUUUUGAGUUUUGAACUAGUCACAAUAUCUUUAAUUUUACUAAUUUGAGCCAUGGAUUUUACAAUAUUAUGUCGUGGCUUUGUCUUAAAUGAUUGCAAAAUCGUAUGGCUAAUAGUGGUUUUGAGUUGUGAACUGGUAUUGUAGAUUUCCUUGCAUCACUACUUUGAUGGCAAUCAUGCCUAUAUUUUAUGUCACCUAUUCUGCCAAUGUUUAGCUCAAAAGGCCAUUAAAAUUAGAUCACUUUCUAUUUCAACAUUGAACCUUAUUAUAUAUUAGAAGCAAGGCAAGAAAUAAACAAAGUUGACCAUUGAAGUUAAUUGCAAUUUUCUAAGACAUUUGAUGAAUGACAAUAGAGUAUAUUCACAAAUAUAUUUUCAUCAAAUAUAUACAUAUAUAGAUGUUAUUUAUUUGUAAUAUUAAAAUUUCAAAUAUUUAAUAAGGUUAUGAAUCAAUAUAAAUAAAAAAUAUUAGAUUUUUAAUUUUAUUUUUUUCUCAAAAUAAAAAAUAAAGAUCAUCAACAUAUCAAUUGUCUUAUUUACUUAUUUUCAAGUUGUUUACUACUACAAAUUUGAAGAAAAUACAUAUAUAUGUUUGUAUCUAUAUAUAUAUAUAUAUAUAUAUAUACAUAUAGUUAUAUAAAUUUCAAGAAUGGCUGAUGAUAAAUAGCAAUGUUUUGAUCAUAUAUGUUUUAAAAAUUUUCACUACAGAUUAUGUAUUGGAGGUUGCAUUUGAGGACUUUUUUAUUGUUAAAUUGGCACUUAUAGUGUUCUCCAUUCUUAAGUUUGCUUAUCAAAUUGUGCUCAAAAUCUCCAAGUCAGAUGUAACUUCUAUAAGUUUAUCCUCCCUGACAAAAACUGUCCUACUCAUUAAUGUUUGAUUUUAAUUUCUAACUACUGUGCUCCAUAAGUGACAAGAUCAAUACACAUUUCUCAAAUACUUUGUUCAUUUCAGGUCAUUAUUUCUGGUUACUAGUUCUAAAACUUAGAUUCUUCAUUGUUUUUUUUGAUAAUUAAGUUUGAGUGUAUAAUAAUUGCACAAAUUGUAUAUCAUUCAUCCAUGAGAAAUUCUUCCAUUGAAAAAUUUCAUGUGUAGGCUAAGUUCUGUUGAUGAUAUGCAAUAGAAAUAUAAAUACAAAUACAUUGGAUAUGGUUCUUUAAGACACAUGCAACGUAAAUUCUAACUUUUAAUUACUUGAAUCAUAACAUGCUUCAAUUGUAAUCUUCUAUUGCAAUUCCAAAUGAAUUGUUUUAAGUUUGUUUUUGUUCUAAAUGAUUGUCAUAUUUAUUUUUUCAAAAUUAAGCAUAUUUUUACAAUUUUUUUUAAAAAAUAGACAAUGUAUUGAAAAAAUCAAUAAUGUAUGUUUAAAAUCUUUAAUGAAUUUUUAGUAAAAAUAUAAGGUUGCAUGCAAGUACAAUUUUAAUCAUAAACUUGGCUUUCCAACUAUUAUAAUUGGUGAUUUUGGAUACAUAUAUAAGUUGCCAAUGGCCCUUGCUAGAUUUUUAACCUAUUUUUUGGAAAAGUUCAUAUAUAUAUAUAUAUAUAUAUAUAUAUUUAGAAAAAAGUUUCAAAAGAUCAAAAAAAGUUAUUUAACAAAACUAGAUAAUGUAUGGCUAUUUAUCAAAAUAUCAGCCAUCAAAAUUGAAUAAAACUAAUUAUUAAUUAAUUUAAAUUAUAUAUAAAUAAAUUCUUCAAUAACUGGAUUGAAAGUUAAGAGAAUAUAAAUAAUGAUACAAUUUCUAAUCUAAAAAUUUCAUCAAAUCAUAUAGAAACUUUUAAUUAUUACAAGAGUAUUUUUUAUUCAUAUUCAUGUUGAAAAACAUGCUGGUUUGGCCAUACUUCAAUACCAAUGAAUAAAACAUGUAUUUUAUUUAUUAUUUUAUACUUUAAUAAAAAUUUAUUUUGAGGAAUAUUAAAUGAUUUUUAUUUCUUCAAAGAAUAAAUUGAGAUCAUAAUUGGUGAAUUUGAUAAAUGAUUUAAUUUUGGUUUUUCUAUUUUUAAAUUUUAUAUACCAUAAAAUUUGAGUUAAUUAGAGAGCAAUGAAAUACAUAAAUUUAGAAUACUUGGUUUGAAAUUCACUAAAAUAGAUCAAGUUUACUAAUAAUUUUAUCAAUUAUUAUCAUACAUACAAAACAGGGGACACAAAGUAUAUAUCUUCAAAUGCUCAAAUAAAAUAUUAGUCUGCAAAAGCGUAAGGUAAAUUAUAGAAUACUAUGAAACAAUAUUAAACAUAAAAUUUACCUCUAAAUUUGUAGAUUUUUACUUUACUUUGAGAUGAAAUUGUUUCAUAAGAAAAUAUUUUCCUUUACUUACACAAGAUAUUCAUUUGGAAACCAGUACAUAUACUGUGUUUUCUAUCACAGUUUGAAAAUCACUUGUGAAUUCCUAUUAGUUUUAUUAUUUGAUUGAUAAUGUAAACUAAAUUCCUCAUGUCUUAUGUUUUGAUUUUGGUAAAUUCUUCAUUUCUUAUAAUUUGAUUUUGGUGUAUUAAUCCUGUCUCUAUUCUUUAUUAAAUUUGUAUAAUUUCAUAUUCAUAUAUAUAUAUAUAUAUAUAUACAUAUACUUAUGUGAAACAUUUGUUCAUUUUACCUCUUAUUUAUAUCCCAGAUUUCAAAACCAAUUCAACUUAUUACACAUACAAUACAUGUUAUAUUAAAAUGCUCUAAAUAAUCAAAAAGAUUUAUCAGAAAAGGAUUUGUCUAUUGGCUGGAUAUUAAACCACAAAUAAUCCCAAUAAUAUUUUUUUCUAUCUAUUUUAUAAUUUUACAUCCAAUAAUGAAAAACAUAUAUGUUUCAAACAAAAUCCCUAAUGUAGAUUUUUAAAUCACCAAAAUUUUAUAUAACUUAUUUGUAAAAAAUAUAAUACAAAGUGAUAUGCUAUUAACUAAAACUAUAAUAGUGCUACCUUAUCAAUCAAUUCAAUGUGUUAUCCAAUGUAUAUUAGGUGUGAUAAAUCCAUCUAACAAAUAUAUAUAUCAUCUUCUCCAUUCUCUUAAUCAAAACUAUUUUUUAUUAUCAUAUUUUUAUUUGAAAUUGCUUCCUCUAAUUUCAGAAGAAUGGAAGCUUUACAAUCAAGAUCCAUUUGAAGCAAUCUAAAGUGAGGUACGAAAGCAAGGCUACAAGGCAAUUGAGAGAGUGAUUCACAAUCCAAUACAUUCAGUUCUACAAAAUUAGAAAAGCUCUCAAAGCUUACAUGCUCAUACUCCAAAUUUUUGAAGUUGUCUCAACCAUCUAGUCUUAAGGUUUGUAAGUUCUUCAAUUUUGCAAAUGAAUGUGGAAUAGCAUCAAGCUCCCCCCAAUGACUGUAAACCAACCUAUUUAAGACAUGGCAUUGCACCAUCCUCCAAUUCUGGCAAACAUGCAAGUCUUGCUCAUUCUCCUAAGUUGAAAUCCACAAUAGCUCCAAAACCACCUUUUCUACCAAAAGAAGUUGGUAGAACCUCCAAAACAUCAAAAUUCAUGAUACACAAACUCACCAAGUUUGGAAGACGAUCUAGAGCUGAAAGUACGACCAACGUUAGACAUGCUAUAUUUAGGGUUUUCAGAAGUGAGAGGGAAUACAAAGAGUCUGGAAGAGAAAAUCAAUCCCUCACAUUUAAGCCAAAGGCAUUCCAAGUGCUGAACAUUUGGGAAGUCCCUCCCAAAGGCCUGUUCUCCACAAAUACUCACUUCCAUAAAUAUACAGAAUUUGCAACCUGGUGAGGUGAAUCAAAUUGGAAGAUAAGUAACUGAGACGCAGACACCAAUCAAGAUACAACUCCUCCAUGCCGGUAAACUUCCCGAUUGACUUUAGGAGUGUCUCUUACCCGUCCAAGACAAAUUGAGUAGUGACGGAGAUUUUAGGUCUCCCACACUCUCCGGCAGCACCUUCAUACAAGUCCCCCUCUGAUCCAGAACGCGGAUGUUACGAAGGUUGUUGAAGAAUUUCUUCGGAAUACACUCCAAUAGAUUUUCUUGUAACAGAAGAACCUCCAGCUCCGGGGCAUCCAGUUUGGCAGGUAGCUCCUUCAGAUUUGUCGACAUGACAGACAACCUCCGAGCGGAAAGUCUAGUCCUCCUGCCUCUGCCUGGAUCCUUGGUAUCAGAACAUCUUCUCCAUUCACGAGGCAAUCCAUCCCUCAUGUCCCGCCCUGCCUCAUACAGGCACUCUCGCUCGGUGACGGCUUUCUCAUGCUGCACUAUGUGGCGCUCCAGGUCCCGAAGAAUAUCGUGCACCAUGCAGUACAAUUCACCAUUUUCAUAGCUUUUGAGCUCAAUCAGCGAGCGGGAGACCAGCACCCCCACCAGCCCACAUGCUUCUAGCUUCGGAGCAUACAACUGACCCACAAUCCCUUCCGCUCUCCACAACGGCAGCAAAUCCUCGUUUACGUCGACUUCCCAAUCCUCUGGAAAUGCAGCGAGUACACAAAGCAAUCCUGCAAUCUUCGAUCGAUACUUCCAAGCUUUUCCAGCUCCGGGGGGACAUGAGAGGUCCCUCGAAACGCUUGCCAGCAGAACAACUUCCAGCUGUUCUCUUCAUCUAGCAACACGACUGCGAGCUUCGUCACAUGAUUUUUGUCCAACACCUCCUCUAUGAGAGUGGUGACGAGGAUUUUGCACCCCGCUCUUAAGGGGACCAAAGAUGUCACCAAGCGUAGCAAAUCUUCUUUCCAAACAACGUCCUGAAUAACCAGCAUGUUCUUCUUAUCCUUGAGCUCAUUACGUAGCUAUGCUAUCAUAUCUUUCAUGGGAAUUUUCCCGCCAACCUCUGAGGGACCAGUGAUCUUCAUUCCGAAGCCUAGGAAGAGACUCCGCACUGACAAAUCUCCACCGACAAAUCUCCAGCUCCUUCUCGUGCUUGUGGUCGUUCCAUUCUGGAAGCGCCACCUCCUCCAACAUCACCAACAAAUGUUUUUCCAGCACUGGUUGCAGAACGGUUAAUGCCAGAGCUUCCGCCAUUUGUAGAUGGGGCACCGUCUCAGAACUCGAUGUUGUAGAUGAAGUGUUCGAAGUAAACGAAUAAAAAUAAUCGGUGCAAUACCAAUGUCAACAGCCAGGCAAGACAAUAUUAUGUGCCACUGGAAACCUCUCGUAAGCGAUAAUGAGUCGGAUCUGCGUUUGAAAGGCCGAUCAAAUGAGUAAUUGGAACCUGAGUUGUACAUGAACAGAGAAUAUCAAAGGCGAGCUCGCGACAUCACACAUGCCCCAGCGGCAUCGAAGUGGAGGUCUGACCAGGGCAAGUUGCGGACAACUUGGUGACUAUGGCACUGCAAAGCCCAAAGAACGGUCUGCAUUUAAAACCCAUCCUCGCUGAAGUAACGUUGCAUUGUGACCUGGUCCUGCCUAAGAAUGGGACUCCAGCCAUGGCGGGGCCUUGCAAAGAGUGCUUUUGAAUCAUUCUUUCACCUCUUUCUGAGUUAUCGCAGCAGAUAUCCUCCUUACAACAUCGACCUCACAUCAUCGUCAACAGUGCUGAUGCUUUCUAUGUACUUUGCAGAAUUGUGUUGUUGCUUGGUGUCAAGUGACUGCAAAAUCUCAUGGGUACUGGUCGUUUUGAGUUGUGAGCUGGUGUUGGAGAUUUCCUUGCAACAGUGAUUCGACGGUGUUCGUGACUGCGGUUUUCGUCACAGGGUCCGCUAAUGAUUAGAUAAGAAGGUCAUUAAAAUUAGAUCAGAAGGUCAUUAAAAUUAGAUCAUUUUCUACUUCACCAAUGAACCUUGUGACAAGCAAGGCACGGUAUAAGCAAAGUUGACCAUUGAAGCCAUUCACAGUUUUGUAACAAGUUUGGUGAAUGAGAAUAGAGCAUACCAGCUAAUAUAUUUUCAUCAAACAUAUACAAAUACAGAUAUUUUCUAUUUGAAGCAUUCAAAUCUCAAACACAUUACAAGACUAAGAAUUGUUUUGAGUGAAAAUUAGACAUACACUUGUUCUUUGUUUUAGUAUAUUGUGUUAAAAAGAAGCGGAUAAAGAUCUCAAAUAUACCAAUAAUCUAGUUUACUUAUUUUCAAGUUGUGUACUACUGCAAAUUUAAGGAAUAUACAUAUAUAUAUAUAUAUAUAUAUAUAGAUAGAUAUAUUACAAAGUGCAUACACAUGUGAAGUAUAAACAAUAUAUUUAUGACUAAAGUAUCAGACUUGAAUAUUUAUAAAGAAAAUUUGCCACCACAAAUAUAACAUAAAGAAGGAUUAGACUUGUUGGGUUAUUUGCUUCAAUAUUGAAACCAUAAAGUGGAAUAAAUAUGACAUGAGGUACAAAAAGGCAAGAAAUGAACAAGAUGGUGUCAUGUGGUAACACGACUAUAUAGUGAAAAAUAAAAAAUAUGGAUGUUAUUAUAGAAGUUCCUAGCAAAAAGAUGUAGUAGAAAAAUAAGGAUAAAUGAUAGAAAGGUAAAAAUAUAUUUAAUCUUAAUCUUGGUGUUUUAUAGAAGGAACUUGUUUUUACUUUAUAGAGGCAUAAAUGACCCAAAUCAAAGUAAAUGAGAUAAGAAAUUAAUAUAGGCAUGUUGAGGAGAGAAUUAACAAUAGGAUAAAGUAAAACUUACCUCAAAUUACUAAAAAUUGACACUCAGAGAAGACUAGUUGUCAACUUAGAUUAAAAUCAGAUCCUAAGGCAUAUAACUACAUCUACAUAGUAACUUUGAGAUUCUUUUAUAGAUUAGAAAGUGAGAUUUGAGAGGAGACUUGAAAAUAGAUUUUUAUGCAUUGCUUUUAUAUUAAUUGAAUUAAUAUUGAAUUUUUGAAGAAUUUUCAAAGUUAGUGAUAUUCUCAGUUGAUUUAGAUUUUAAAAACUAAAAAUAGAUUUAUAAAUUUGAGAAUUUUUUGAAUUUUAUAGUGUAUGUAUAAGUAAAAUUUUAGGCAAUACAUUAUGCUAAUUGUGAAUGUAUAUGAAAAUUUUGAUAUCAAUCAAAUAGUUAGAUUGAAGUGUGUGAAGGUUUUUGUGGGUUGAAAUUUCAAAAAUUAAAGUUUGAGCAUCUAUGAAUAUUUAUAAGAUUUCAAUGAUCUAUCAAUUGGAUUGUAGUGAAUUGUUUUAGAUACAAGACUCAAUUUUCAAUGUUUAAGUGAAAUUUGAGAGUAAUUCAAUAGUUCAAGAAGGAGGUAUUAGUGAUAGAAGUUAAGCAUUUAAGUUAGAAUAAGAGGCCACCUAAUACUCAAUUGGAUUAUCUUUUAUUUCUCUCAAUUGGUAAGUGCAAUUGAUUUCAUCUUUCUUGUACUUGUUUUUAACCAAGAUAUUAAAAAGUAUGCAAAUUUUGAGUUGAUAUCAAUAGUUUGAUCAUUAAUUGUUGAAAUUCCAUUUUGCUAUAGAAUUUGGUUUAGGAUUUAUCUGCAAUUUGGUUAGAACUUAGGAUUUGGUCUAGGCUUUGGUUAGAAUUAAGGUUUACUUGGGAUUUGAUUUAGAACUUGACUAAGGUUUGAUUAGGAUUUGUCUAAGAUUUUUCUAGGAUUUCAGAUUUCAUUAGGAUGUUAUAAGAAUUUAAUCUAAGAUUUGAUUAAGAUUUAAUUAAAGUUUCAAUUAAAUUUGAUUAAGUUUCAAUUGAUUUUUCUAUUUAUAGUAUUUAAAAUGAUUCUUUGUUAUUUCUUUAAGUUUUAUUUCUUAUAUUUUUUUAAGUUUAUUUUUAUUUUUUUAAAGGUUUAUUUUUUAUAUUUCUUCAAGAAUUCUUAUUAUUUUUGUUUGAGAUUAGGUUAGGGCUUUUUUGUACUUCUUUUAUAACUUCUUUUAAAUUUAUUUUGGAUUGGUCAAAGUUUAAUCAAGAUUAUUAAGGUCUAUCUAUUCUUAUUUAAGAUUCUAUUAGACUAGAUAAGAUUAUUCUUACAUUUCUACUUACUUUUCACAACUAGGUAUUCAAUGCAUUCUUAAGAAAGAACAUAUAUAAUACAAUAAUAGGCCUAUACCAAUGUUCUAUUGUAGUUUGGCUACUAUGUGAAAAUAAUGCUCAAUUAACUAAUAUACAAUUUAUUAUACAAUGUAGUGAGAACUUUAUUAUUAGAUUUUAAUUAGUUAUAAAAUGUGAUUAGAAUGUUAAUUUGAAGUAGUUAGUCUAACAUGACUACUAUUGAGGUCGAUUUUAUAUUUAUAAUAGUUUUUUUUUUUUUUAAUUAGAGCUAUCUUUAUUAGACAUUGGUAAUUCUCAAAAUCUUGUUUUAUUUCUUUUAUUUAGUAUUCAAGGCACAUAUUAUGUAAAACUUAUUAAAAAAAAGAUUAGACAAGGAUUUUUGUAUUAAAAGUGAUAGUUAGGCCAUCCAUAUGGAUGAAUGGGGAUAUAUAAUAAAAAUCUCCAUUCUUAUUUGCCAAACGUCAUGCCCAAUGGACUUCAAGGAUGCUACUUGAGAUCUUAUUAUAUUAAUUAAAUAUAAAUCUUAUAUGAAAAGAGAUUGAAGAAGGAUUUUGGUAGCAAAAAAGGUAGUUAGGGCAUCCAUAUGAAUGAAUGGAGAUGGAUGAUAUAAAUCUCCAUUCCUAUUAGUCAAAAAUCAUAACCAAUGGGCUUCAAGGAGGUUGCUCGAGGCCAUAUUAGGAAUUAGGAUUAGUCUUUCAAGGGGAUUUGAACAUCAAAGUCUAGGAUUGGUAAAUUUAGGUUUUUGGCUAUAGUUUUGGUUCAAAUUUUGAGUCAUUUGGAGUUUCUAUGAAGGAGGUAUAGGCGCUUAAAAUCAAGAUGUCAAUUUUGUACUUAUUGUCACUCUUUUGGAUAUAACGCAUGCAUAUCGAAUGCAAUUAAGGAUCGGUGACUAGGAUUGAUGAGAGCACUUUUUCAACUAUACUUCAUGCAUACUACUUAAUGAAUUCUAAGCUAGAAUAUAGGAGAUAUUAAAAGUUGAAGUCAGCACUUAGAAUCUAAGAAGGAGUAAGUGACGUGAAUUACUAGUGGUUGUGGUUUAAGCUAUAUCUUGUGCAAUUUGAGAAGAUUUUAGCUCAAAAUUUUCUUAAAUUUAUAUUUUCAUGUUACUAAAUUUUAUACAUAAGAUUUUUGAUAUUUUAAUUUUAAAUUUGUGAGAUAUAAAGAAAAUAGUAUUUAGGUGUUUGUCAAUUAGGAUUUUAGAGCACUUCCUAGGGGUUUUCAGUUGCCAGAAGAUCAUUAGUGAAUUUAUAGUUAAUUUUUUUUGAAGUAAAGCUUAAGAAUAAAUUCUAUAAUAUCUAUAAAUUUGACAAAAAUAAAAUAGUUGGAUCAAGAGAUAUGAAUUUUUGAAGUUUGGGAAGAAAAAAUUCUUUGCAAAAAUAUUAUAUUUUGAAGAGAUUUUAUUAUAAUUUGAAUAUUUUAUACAUAGUAAUGAGAUUUUUGGAAGUCAAGACUUUAUUUAUUUUUCCAAGAUAAUUUGCUAUAAUAUUUUUGAAGUGAGAUCCUCAAAACAUGAUAUUUUCUUCACCCUUUCAUUUGUUAGCCGUGUUACAUCACGACAUCCACCCCCCUUGAACCUAUGCAUCCUCUGAUAUGCACCAAGUUCCUUCAUUAUAUUGAUAUUGAAUGUUCUUUAUCUUGGUCAAAUUCUUGAUCUUUAUUUUGCUCUUUUUCUUCCAUCUCAAUAUCUCCUAAUAGAUUUUGUUCUUCAUCAAAACAAAUGUCUUUACCUCUUUGAUUAAACAAUUUGAUUUGCUUGCCUACUAUUGGUAUCUUUAAAUCUGUACCAUCCAGUUCUCAUAAUAAGUAUGUUCCAUUCUCGUGCACUUGUUUGACAACAUAAGGUCCAAACCAUCUCCUUGUAAAUUUCUUUGUCGUACUAUGUUGGUUGUCCAAACUACUAUCAUAAACCAACACCCAAUCACCGUUUUAAAUUGGUUUUGGACGCAAUCGAUGUUUUUUGUCAAACCUCUCCUUGUUUUUUUCUCUCGCUUCUUUCAACUUUCUCAUAGCUACUUCAAUAUCCUUGGGCCUUCUUUCAAGUUGUCAAAUUCGUAAUGCGAAUAACUCUUCUCUUGUUAAACUAUCUUUUCAAAGUAAUAUAGCCUAUGUUGAUACAACUUCCUCUAUCGGCAUUACCGAUUUUUGACCAUACAUCAAUUCUGCUGGCAUGUAUCAUAUAAUUGUACUAUGAGUUGUGCAAUCCGUCGAUAAUGCAAAUGGUAAUAAUUUAGGCCAAUCACUUAUCUUGCCUUUGCAUGCUUUAACCAAUGCUUUAAUAAUCGGAGAAUGUCCACGUUCACUCUUGCCAUUCCCUUCCGGAUUAUAUGUUGUUUUUAAUGCAAGUUUAAUAUCCAUCCUCUCAAAGAACUCUCGUGCUUCAUUUGCAUCCAAUUCUCCUCUAUCUGCAGUGAUUUUUCCAAUACAUCCAUACCGGCAAAUAAUUUCUUCUAAUAUAAACCGACAUACUCCUUCCGUAGUCUUUGUUGAAAGUGUUCUUCCCUCUAUUUGAUUUGUCAAAUCUUCCCGAGCAAGUACCAAAUAUUUUCUCUGACCAAAUCCCAUUGGCAUUACAACUAAAUCAACCACCCAUUUAUAAAGAAUUACUAAUGGAUAUGUAAGAUGCAAACCAUCUCAAUGAUGAAUAUUUGAAUAUAUUUGGCAAGUUUCACAAGAUCCUACAAAAUCUGCCACAUCUCUGUACAUGCCCUUCUACCAAUAUUUUUCUUUCAACUUAAUAAAUGUUGCCUAAAUACCUCAAUGCCCUACCCAUAAACUUUUAUGAAAUUUCUUAAUAAUCUUUUGUUGAGCUUCUAAACCACAUAUCACUCGUUGUGGUACUUCUCCUCUCUUCUUUGGAUGCUUCCAUAAAUAUUCAUUCCGUAAAAAAUACCCAUAGGCUUUCUUUUGGAUUUUCUUAAAUUCUUGAUCUAUCCAACCAUCUUGUCGCUUUAAUGUGCUUAAAUACUCCCCAAUGUCUUUCCAUUCUUUUUCAUAUAGAUCUCUUGAAAAUAUUUCUAAUGGUAUAUUCAAAUAUAUACUUUCUUCCUUUGAUAAUGCAUUAGUAUAAAAAUUUGUACCCACAUCAUCUUCUAAAUCUAUCAUAUCUUCUUCAUCGUAAUACCUUGCUCUUGAUAACAUAUCUGCGACUGAAUUUUCUUUUCCUAUAAUAUGUUUAAAUUCCAAAUUUAUAGAUUUGAUAUAUGCCAUCCACCUUAACAUAGCAAUAUCAGGAGUUAAACAACUUGUAAUCAUACCCAAUAAAGGUAGACAAUCUAUUUCUACAACUACUGAUGCAUCAAUCAAAUACUCCCUUUCAUUUUUCAUAGCUAUUACUACACCAUAUAAUUCUCUUUUGAUUUGUGCAUAUAUCCUUUGUCUAGCAUUCAAAACCUUUGUUCCAAACCUUACUACAUAUCUAUUCUCUUGUUCAUUAUCUUGUCUAAUUGUCCAACCUAUUCCAAUUGGACUUGCAUCAACUGUUAAUAUUACUAGCCUUCCACAUUCAUAAUUUACUUUCUUCAAAGUUGGAGGUGAAGAAAGAAAUUCUUUUAACUUUGCCAUAUCUUUUCUUUGUUCUUCUUUCCAUUGAAAUUUUUGAUUCUUUCGUAACAACUCAUAUAAUGGAUCUGCUAUAUAUGCAAAAUGAGAUAUCCAUAUAUGAUAGAAAAUACAUGCUCCUAAAAACCUAAUGACUUCCAUCGUAUUUGCACACUCUUUCAAUUUUUUUAUAAUAUCAACUUUUUUCCUACUUGGUUUGCAUCCAUAUAAACCACACAUGUGCCCUACUACCAAAACUUCUUUUAUUCCAAAUAUUGAUUUUGUUCCCAAUAAGGUUAAAUGAACUUCUUCUAGUCUCAUCAAAAUCUUCUCACAAUCAUCAAUAUGAUCUAUCACAAACUUCCUACAUCCCUUUGAAUCAAAUGUCUCAUCCUUUCUUUUUUCUUCAUAUCCUUUAAUUGGCACAUCAUCUAGAAAAGAUAUUGUUAUUCUUGAAAUAAAAUCUUUUAGCAUCUUAUGUAUUCCAUUCAUCAUGUGUGCCACAAAAUUUGUAGCCCCUUGUAGUAAUGUACACAUUCUGACCAAUCCCAAUGGUGUCUUUAUAAUUGUCAAAUCUCUACUUUGUAUUACCAAUUGAAAUUGAUCGUUUCCUGAAUAAAGAUCUCCUAUAGAAUAAAUUGAUCUCCCUGCAAAUGCCUCUGCAAACUCAUCCACAAUUGGACUUGAGCCCAUAUUUUUAAUAGUUAUUUUAUUUACCAGUUGCAUAUCUUGAAUAAACCUCAAUGUUCUAUUUUUCUUAGAUACUGUGAACUACCGAUUGGAAUAUGGUACAAUAGAUGGUUCUAAAAUUUCCAUCUUAAUUUUUUCAUUGAGUAAUUCAACUAGCUUUGGCAAAUGGGCCUUUGGAACUGGAAUUGGCUUCAAGUUCCAUGGUUCAUGCGGAAUUAUAAAAAUAACCAUAGGUGCUAUAAUACUCGGAUCAAUGCACCAUAUUUCAUGUGAUUCAAAUGCAAAUGCUUUACUAUGUCAUGAAAAUAUUUCUUUAAAACAUCUCUCCUCAUCUCUUGUCAAAAAUUUAUCACAGCCAAUUUUCAAACCAUCUAACGUUAAAUAAUCCUUGAAUUCAUGACCUAUUUUCUUUCGAUCUCUUAAGUUAGGUUGCAUAGAAGCUCUUUUAAUCCUUUCUUCAAAAUCCGUUGGUAGUGGCAAUGUCACUAGUUUAACCUUUCUUGCAAUAGUCUUAUAUUUUGUGUUCACUUUCACUUCAUAUCUAUCCAUAUAUUCUUUUAUUCUAUCAUAAAAUUUCUUAGAAUGGAUAUUUAUUAUUUUAUCACCUCUUUCAAAAUCUCUAUUCAAUAAUAUUUAUAAAUCAUCCAUAGUAUCACUAAAAUAAGAUUCUUCAAACAUCCUUGAUAUGUAUUCAUCUUCAUCAAUCAUUCUACAUUUUUUUAAUCCCUGUUCUACAUUCUUAACAUUUCUCUUAUCUAUCCUACUAAAAUUAUUUAUGUUUUUGAAUAAAAUAUAUCCGUCUCGUGAUAAUCCUACAAUAUCUUCAUCCUUUCUAUUAGGCAGGAAGCCUUCACUCUUUUUACCAUUGCAAUCUCACUUUAUAAUGGCGUCUAGUAAAAAUCCUUUGAGUCUUCAAGAUCUUCAAAUUCUUUAUGUAUCUUUGGAAAAGGAUGUUCUCUCAAACUAUCCUUAUUUCUUCCAUGAUUUGUACAAACUGUUAAAAAUUGCACUGCCCUCUUUCCAUCUUGACUUCUUAUCCUUACAUAAUCUGAUCCAUCAUCCAUAACCUUUGUCUCCAUUCAUGUAGUAGUAAUAUUUGGUUGUCCUAAUAUAAUAGGAUAUGUAGACAUAUCUUGCACAAAGAAAUUUUGUUCAUGAAUAACAUCUUCUAUUGUAACCUUGAUAUUUGGACAAGCUCCAUACAAAUUUCCUUUUGAAUUAUUUGUUGUUCUUAUCACCUACCCAAGCUCAAUAUCAAUAGGCCAAUUUCUCCUUUUAUAUAAUUCUGUUAACAUUAAAUAUAUUUCAGAACCAUGAUCAAUCAAUGCUACAAUUGGUUUUUCAAAAUCUCCCAAUUUUACUAAAGUUUCCGUAGUAGCCCUUGCCCAAUGACUCUGAGAAUAAUGACUAGAAGCUUGAAUCAUAUCUUCUUUUCCUAUAAAUUUGACUCGUGAAACAUUUCCAAUAAUUUGUAUUUUAAUUUCUUCAUCUUCAUUGCUUCCUAUUGCCUUUGUACCUUAUGCAUUUGAUGUCAUAGUAUUAUCAAUAGAUUGUCAUUUUUUUUUAUUGUAUCAAUAAUAACUUCAUAAAAUUCUUGUUUUACAAUUCCUAGAAUUUCACCAAUUGUAAAUUCAACAUUUCUACUUAAAAUCCACUCCUCCAAUACUAUCUUCAAAUCUGUAGCAGCUUCAAUAUCUAAUUGUAAUUUAUAAGCAGGAAUCUUUGCUUUUUCUUUCACAAUCUCCCUCUCCUAUGUAGAAAUAUUCUCUAUUGUCUCUUCAUGCAUAGGAUUCUUCUGUUGUCGAGUUUUAUCUCUCCUUGUGAUUCUUUUUGAUGGCCCUUUAUGAUUUUCGUCUUUCUUUCAUUUUUCUUCUAUUAAUGCUUCAUGUUGACUCCUUGCAAUAUGAGCAUGAACUGAUAAUCUAUCUACUUGAUCAUCUUAUCUAGUAAUUUACUGAAUAUUAUUGCCAACAUAUUUUAGAUCAUCUCUAGUAAAAUUUUUCUUUUUAGCAUAAUUCAUUGUACUUGACCAUAAAGAAAUAGAUUCUCUUGAAUACUCAAGAUUUAUACUUAAGAAUUUGCUUGGAUUUGCCUCCAUCCAAAAUAUUGAUGCUUCAUUUCUUGAAGUUGUAUGCACCUUGGAAGCAUCUCCUACAAACACCUUCAUUCUCCAUUUACCAAAAAUUUUCUCUAAUUUUUCUCUACUCUCUUUUAAGUAUAUCAUACCAUCUUUAAAAAAAACAACUCCUUUACGUAGUGCCUCUAAAAAAUCCUCACACUCCGUUCUUGAAUGAUCUAUGCUAUCACACCACAUGCACCUAUGCACCAUACCUUCUAUUGGUCUUAAAUUUUGUCUUGUUGAUAUUCUUGAUGAUUGAUCCAUCUCUUCAAGUUUUAUAAAUUUAUUUGCAAAUCUCUCAUCUUUUGUAUGAUUUCAUCAAUAUCCAUUUCUUCUCUCUUUGAUGUAGCCAUUGAAAGUUGAAUCGUAGAUGUAGGAUAGAUAGCAGGCAUUUUUCUUUUAGAUGUUUGCAAUGGUCUUUGAAUUUCCAUCCUAUCUUUUCUCCUUUCUCUUUUUGCAAGCACCUCAAUUGUCUCUUCUACUUUCUCCCAAUUUUUUGUCAAUCCUUCAACUUCUUCUUUAUCUUCCAAUAAAAUUUCCAACUUCUCUUGCAACUCUCUAUUAGCCACUUGAAGGAAAAGUUCCACUUUACUUGGAUCUAAUAAUUACCUCUCUUUCUUAGAUAAAUAAGAAUAUUAUUUUUCAAACUCCCUUAGUAACUCCGUUGCUAGUAGAUCCUUCUUAGGCCUUUCAAUCCAUUCAAAAAAUGACUUUUUUAUAACUCGGUCACUAUCUUCUAAAAAAUGUUCAUCCUUUAAUGCUUGAAAUAAUUUUUCCCAUGAACCUCCGGAAUGUCUUAUAAUGGACUUCACAUGAUUUCUUAUUUCUAUUGUAGUAGCUAAUUCAAAUAGCUGAACUAUCUCCUUCUCUGAAAGACACUUUAAUUCCAUUUCCUUUACGUAACACCUUAAAUAUUUUGUAAUAUCCUUCCCUUCAAAUUGAUCAAUCUUGUCUACAACAGCUUGUAAUGCUUUGUCUGCCAUGCCCUCUUUGCGAUCCUUAACCUGUCAUUGUUGCAUAAAUAAGGCUAAUGCCUCAAACAUGCUUGCACAGUUGGGAUCAAAAUAUAUACCUUGUCUUUCAAUUGAAGCUCUACUUCCAACUCCACUUGAAGCACCACCAAAAGCUCUUCCUUCCAUUCUCUUGCCUUCCUUCUCCAUAAUCCAAAUAGAUCAAAGAAACUCCAAAUACCUCCCAUCUCAAGUUUUUCACAUCGGGUUCACCAAAUAUGUUGUAUUACGUGAAGUCUUGCUUGAGAAUGCACCGAGCACCUGCCUAUGGAAGGUAAAAGAAAAUUACAACAAAAUGUCCUAAAAAUCCAAUAGGAUUAUAGAAAAUUUAUAAUUAAAUGUUAACAAUCAUAAUCAAAUAUUAAGCAAGCUCAAUUAAAUUUUAUUGAAGUUAUAAAAGAAACACAAGGAAAUCCUAAAGAAAAAUAAAAGAAUAUUAAAGAAAAUUUAGUCAAACCUUAACAAAAAUCUAAUAGAAUCUUAAAUUCUAACCAAACCCUAAUCUUAAUCUAACCUUAAUCAAAUCCUAGACAAACCCUAAACCCUAAACUAAAUCCUAAUCAAACCUUCAUCAAAUCUUAAACCUUAAAUCAAUUCCUAAUCAAAUCCUAAAUCAAAUCCUAAAUCCUAAUCCAAAUCCUAAACCAAAUCCUAAACCAAAUCCUAAAUCAAAUCCUAAACCAUACCCUAAUCCUAAAAAAUUCUAAACCCUAAAUCAAAUCCUAAUCAAACCCUAACCCUAAAUCCUUAUCAAAUCCUAACUCAAAUCAAAUCCUAAUCAUAAAUUUGAAAAUUAAAUAACUAAAGAUUGAACCGUUGAUUCUAAUUCAAAAUUUUCAUACUUCUUGGAGUUUAAGUUUGAAACUAGUACACAAAUUUUGAAGAAAAUUGCACUCACCAAUUAGUCGAUGAUCUCAAAAUUCCGCUCGGAUGUCGGCUGGUCUCUCCUUCUCCAAUCUUGAUGCCAACUUCCAGUGCUGAUAUCUUUCUUUUCUACCAUUCAAUUGUUUCCAAAUUUUAUUUUCACAUAGAAAAUCAAGUCUUCUAC